rnacentral:rRNA from 1 species
AUUCUUCGGAUGAUUCUUAACUGACUGAGCGGCGGACGGGUGAGUAACGCGUGGGUGACCUGCCCCAUACCGGGGGAUAACAGCUGGAAACGGCUGCUAAUACCGCAUAAGCGCACAGAGCUGCAUGGCUCGGUGUGAAAAACUCCGGUGGUAUGAGAUGGACCCGCGUCUGAUUAGCUAGUUGGUGGGGUAACGGCCUACCAAGGCGACGAUCAGUAGCCGGCCUGAGAGGGUGAACGGCCACAUUGGGACUGAGACACGGCCCAAACUCC